rnacentral:rRNA from 1 species
AAACCGUUUAGGGGUAAACCUGAAAAACCCGAAAGGUCGAAGGGAGAAAUUCAUUCGCGUUUCGACGUAGGCGUGGAGCGGGAUUGAGUGACGAAAAAUGUGUGCUUGCACGGAUUUUUCGCGCCGCCCGUUUCUCGAACCGACGACGAACGCGUGCACUUUUCUCCUGGUAGGACGUCGCGAUCCGUUGGGUGUCGGUCUACGGCUCGCGGUGGAGCCCGUUUGUCAUUUAUUUGCGAAUGGACCCGCGUUGAUCCUGGCCGACUCGCUCGACGGUAUAAGAAAGGUUUGAGGCCGCUCUUCUGGAGCGUUCGACUCGCGGCAAGCGCGUCAGAUGCGUUGGGGAUCGGACCUAGUGCCGAUUCUGACCUCUGAUGACUGUUGGCUGCGAAGUUCUCGGACAGACCUCUCGACCGAUCUGCGACGCUAUAGCGUUGGGUACUUUCAGGA